GAGAGCCGGAUACCUGGAAACUCGUACGUCCGGUUCGGCGAGAGGGUGACGGGUGAUCCCGCAAGGGACAACCGCUCCCUACUCGAC
rfam:Ktedonobacter racemifer DSM 44963 strain SOSP1-21 Krac_Contig205, whole genome shotgun sequence.